ACACUCAUGUUUCCCUUCAGAUCGUACAAAUCUUUCGCCUUUUACUAAUGAUUUCCAUGGAGAGGAACAAUAUUCAGAGUUCAGUCUAAUUUUUAGAUGCCCUGAUGUUCAUACUACU